rnacentral:sRNA from 1 species
UGGAACACUGAUGACGGCGACAUUGGAG